rnacentral:lncRNA from 1 species
AUGUUACAUCUAUCAGAGCACGACCCACUAAGGAGACUACACUAGACUCCAAUCAUUCGCUCCUACUCAACUCAGUUCUCGUUACCUGAAAAACAGUUGUAAGGGUGAGUUCCUCAAUCGAUAUAAUAAGCAUUAUAAAAUAUCAUGCAAUGUUAAGUAAUUUAACACAUUAAUCACCCUAAUCACAACAUACAAUCAGUAACAGCACAUCAGCUCACAUCAUACUCAACAUUCCAUAACACACAAGUAUAAUCUCAAAUCAUACUCUACAACAACACAAACACACGUAUAAUAUUGGAAUACAUCCAUUCAUAUUAUACGCCAUACAUACAUUAUGCAAUGAGACUCCAC